rnacentral:tRNA from 1 species
GCGGAUGUGGUGAAAUUGGUAGACACACUAGACUUAGGAUCUAGCGCUUCGGCAUGCGGGUUCGAGUCCCUCCAUCCGCACCA